rnacentral:misc_RNA from 1 species
UCCGUUUUGUCAACGGCAGUCUCUCUAGAGUGCCCAACUUAAUGCUGGCAACUAAAGAUAAGGGUUGCGCUCGUUGCGGGACUUAACCCAACAUCUCACGACACGAGCUGACGACAGCCAUGCAGCACCUUGCACUCUGCCAAGUUUUACCUUGGAGGCCCUAUCUCUAGGGUUGUCAGAGGCAUUCUAGCCCAGGUAAGGUGGGGAUGACGUUUCCAGGUUAGG